rnacentral:rRNA from 1 species
GACGUAGGGUGCGAGCGUUGUCCGGAUUUAUUGGGCGUAAAGAGCUCGUAGGCGGCUCGUCGCGUCGACCGUGAAAACCUGCAGCUUAACUGUGGGCGUGCGGUCGAUACGGGCAUCACUGGAGUUCGGCAGGGGAGACUGGAAUUCCUGGUGUAGCGGUGAAAUGCGCAGAUAUCAGGAGGAACACGGGUGGCGAAGGCGGGUCUCUGGGCCGAUACUGACGCUGAGGAGCGAAAGCGUGGGGAGCGAACAGG